GCGGGCGUAGCUCAGCUGGAUAGAGUACCUGGCUACGAACCAGGCGGUCGGAGGUUCGAAUCCUCCCGCGCGCACCA
rnacentral:tRNA from 1 species